rnacentral:rRNA from 1 species
CGGCGAGUGAAAAGGGAUGAGCCCAGCGCUGAAUCUCUCGGUCUAAGGCCGCUGAGAACUGUAGCGUAUAGGUUUGACUAUCUGUUUGCUAUGUAUUCUCCAAGUUCCUUUGAUAGGGGCUAGUUCAGUCCCGAGAGGGUGCUAGACCUGUGCGAGAAUUGUAGUGAGCAGUUGGUUGUUCCUUGGAGUCGUGUUGCUUGAAAGUGCAGCAUAAAGUAGGUGAUAGACUUCAUCUAAGGCUAAAUAUAACCUUGAAUUCGAUAGCUAACAAGUACCGCGAGGGAAAGUUGCAAAGAACUUUGAAGAGAGAGUUCAAGAGAACGUGAAAUCGCUGGAGUAUGCGGAGAGAGUUGACGUAACCCGGUAGCUAAGUUGUUCUUCGGAGCGAUGGUGCUGCUUAUGGUUGCAUUGGUGGCGUUGGUUUACGACGACAGCUGCGUAGUUUAGCCCACUUCGGUGGUGUCUAUCUUGUGGUCUUGUUGUUGUCAGCUAGCGUGUAAGCCCUGUUCACAGGGUGCCA